UAACUGCUGGUUACACUAUCUAAUUGGAUGUGUAACUUCCGAUUACACAUGCCAUAUGCAUGUGUAACUUCCGGUUACACUAGUCGUAUCAUGUGUAACUUCCGGUUACACUAGUUGUAUUACACAUCUAUAAUGUUGAGAGAUGAAAAUGGUGCUGAUUCUGACAAAGGUAAGAAAGUUGAGACUGUCGGCGAUGAGACGAAAAGUUUGCUUGAUUCAAGUGUCAGCAAGGCUGCUGAUAUGGUUGCUAGGUAUAUCUUUGGAGCAUUAGGAGCAUACCCAGGCGACUGGUUAACUAAAAAUGGCAAUCAUUUUGUCUUUUCCCUCAUGUUUUCAACCUUAGAGAAAUUAUUGUAGUCAUUACAUGCCCAUAUGUAACUGAUAAACAGAAAAAUUAUUGUAAAUGAAAUUUUUAUUUCAAUAACAACUGAAUAUAU